AUGGCGGGCCUUUCAGGCAUCCUCUCCUAAAAACUUUCAUGAGCCGGCCCUUUGGGUCGGCUCUUUUUUUGCCCCCCU
rnacentral:sRNA from 1 species